rfam:Triticum aestivum genome assembly, contig: Triticum_aestivum_CS42_TGACv1_scaffold_321207_4BL
AUUGUACUCCCUCCGUUCGGAAAUACUUGUCAUAGAAAUGGAUACAGAUGGAUGUAUGUAAAACUAAAAUACAUCUAAAUACGUAUGUAAAACUAAAAUAUAUCUAGAUACAUCAAUUGCUCAGACAAGUAUUUUCGGCCGGAGGGAGUAUAUA